GGAUAUACCUCAGCAGUAGAGUGCUUGCCUAGCAUUCAUGAGGCCCUGGGUUCAAUUCCCAGUUCCA
rnacentral:tRNA from 1 species